rnacentral:rRNA from 1 species
UACGGAGGGUGCGAGCGUUGUCCGGAAUCAUUGGGCGUAAAGGGCGCGUAGGUGGCCCGGUCAGUCCGUGGUGAAAGCGCGGGGCUCAACCCCGCGUCGGCCAUGGAUACUGCUGGGCUGGAGCACUGUAGAGGCAGGCGGAAUUCCGGGUGUAGCGGUGGAAUGCGUAGAGAUCCGGAAGAACACCGGUGGCGAAGGCGGGUCUCUGGGCCGUAACUGACGCUGAGGAGCGAAAGCGUGGGGGAGCAAACAGG